CUGCCCACCGAGUGUACUGAUCCCUAUGAUGGGAGCAAGCAUCCAUUGGGUUCCAAGUGGAAUACAGCGCAGUGCAUGGAAUGCACAUGUAGUCAAAGAGGGAUGGAGUGCUGUACCAGGUACGGUGGUACUGUCAAUGUUCCGGGAUGUAAAGCAGUGGUAAAUCCAAACACAUGUAAAUAUGAGUUCUAUAAACUGGAUGAUCCCUCCAAACCCUGUUUCUGAGCCUUACAAAUCCCACCCAAAUUCCUUUCAUGUAAGAGAAUCUGAAUAAAUCAGUCAUAUGUGCAUUUC